rnacentral:rRNA from 1 species
AUUGAACGCUGGCGGCAUGCCUUACACAUGCAAGUCGAACGGCAGCGGACCUUCGGGUGCCGGCGAGUGGCGAACGGGUGAGUAAUAUAUCGGAACGUACCUUUCAGUGGGGGAUAACGUAGCGAAAGUUACGCUAAUACCGCAUAUUCUGUGAGCAGGAAAGCAGGGGAUCGACAAGACCUUGCGCUGAUUGAGCGGCCGAUAUCAGAUUAGCUAGUUGGUGAGGUAAAGGCUCACCAAGGCGACGAUCUGUAGCGGGUCUGAGAGGAUGAUCCGCCACACUGGAACUGAGACACGGUUCAGACUCCUACGGGAGGCAGCAGUGGGGAAUAUUGGACAAUGGGCGAAAGCCUGAUCCAGCCACGCCGCG